rnacentral:tRNA from 1 species
AAAGGGAGACCUAACUCAGGUAGGAGACGAAAAAAAAGUAGUCCCAACCAAGAAUCAAUCCCAAAAGGUCGGAGCGAGGCGAAAUUGGCUUUCAAACUAGGUUCUGGGUUCACACAAGACCUGAAUCAGGAACAAGGGCUAUUAGCUCAGGUGGUUAGAGCGCACCCCUGAUAAGGGUGAGGUCCCUGGUUCGAGUCCAGGAUGGCCCACCUGCACAGGUGGCAAAAACAAAGAAAAGAAGCUCCGAAUCAGCACCUUAUCUUACUUAUAUAGUAAGAGAGAAUGCUGGCUCUGAGUUCAGAGUCCAGAGGAACCUUGAAAACUGCAUAGAGCUAGGUGAAAAAGCCAAAAAAGAAGACCGCAAG